rnacentral:rRNA from 1 species
GAUGAACGCUGGCGGCGUGCCUAAUACAUGCAAGUCGAGCGAACGGACGGGAAGCUUGCUUUUCUGAUGUUAGCGGCGGACGGGUGAGUAACACGUGGAUAACCUACCUAUAAGACUGGGAUAACUUCGGGAAACCGGAGCUAAUACCGGAUAAUAUUUUGAACCGCAUGGUUCAAAAGUGAAAGACGGUCUUGCUGUCACUUAUAGAUGGAUCCGCGCUGCAUUAGCUAGUUGGUAAGGUAACGGCUUACCAAGGCAACGAUGCAUAGCCGACCUGAGAGGGUGAUCGGCCACACUGGAACUGAGACACGGUCCAGACUCCUACGGGAGGCAGCAGUAGGGAAUCUUCCGCAAUGGGCGAAAGCCUGACGGAGCAACGCCGCGUGAGUGAUGAAGGUCUUCGGAUCGUAAAACUCUGUUAUUAGGGAAGAACAUAUGUGUAAGUAACUGUGCACAUCUUGACGGUACCUAAUCAGAAAGCCACGGCUAACUACGUG